CAAGAUGAGAUUUCCCAUUUCUUCGGAAAGUAAGAUCCCUGAAAGAUGAUCAGGUAGAUAGGUUUGGAGUGGAAGUGUAGCGAUACAUGGAGCGGACAAAUACUAAUCGAUCGAGGACUUAACCAAAA
rnacentral:rRNA from 2 species